AUCUAAGUAGGUGGAGGAAGAGAAAACAAUCGUGAUUCCCUGAGUAGUGGCGAGCGAAACGGGAAGAGCCCAAACCAAACGGUUUAACCGUUUGGGGUUGUAGGGCCUUCAUAUAGAAGUUACCAAUCAUUUUGAUAGCGGAAGUCUCUGGAACGAGACACCACAGAGGGCGAUCGUCCCGUACGCGAAAUCACAAUGACUUCUGAAGGUACCCUGAGUACGACGGAAUAAGUGGAAGUCUGUCGGAACCCGCGAGAACCAUCUCGUAAGGCUAAAUACUCUCUAGAGACCGAUAGCGCACAAGUA
rnacentral:rRNA from 1 species